rnacentral:rRNA from 1 species
ACUGCAUGAAGCUGGAAUCGCUAGUAAUCGCGGAUCAGAAUGCCGCGGUGAAUACGUUCCCGGGUCUUGUACACACCGCCCGUCACACCAUGGGAGUCAGCAACGCCCGAAGCCAGUGACCCAACUGAGAAGAGGGAGCUGUCGAAGGCGGGGCCGAUAACUGGGGUGAAGUCGUAACAAGGUAUC